UACGAAGGGUGCUAGCGUUGUUCGGAAUUACUGGGCGUAAAGCGUGCGUAGGUGGCUUAACAAGUCAGGGGUGAAAUCCCACAGCUCAACUGUGGAACUGCCUUUGAAACUGUUAAGCUAGAGUCUUGGAGGGGAUAGCGGAAUUCCUAAUGUAGAGGUGAAAUUCGUAGAUAUUAGGAGGAACACCGGUGGCGAAGGCGGCUAUCUGGACAAGCACUGACACUCUGGCACGAAAGCGCGGGGAUCAAACAGG
rnacentral:rRNA from 1 species